GGGCCCGCACAAGCGGUGGAGCAUGUGGUUUAAUUCGAUGCAACGCGAAGAACCUUACCAAGCCUUGACAUCCUCGGAACUUUCCAGAAAUGGAUUGGUGCCUUCGGGAACCGAGUGACAGGUGCUGCAUGGCUGUCGUCAGCUCGUGUCGUGAGAUGUUGGGUUAAGUCCCGUAACGAGCGCAACCCACAUCCCUAGUUGCCAGCAGUUCGGCUGGGCACUCUAAGGAAACUGCCGGUGAUAAGCUGGAGGAAGGUGGGGAUGACGUCAAGUCCUCAUGGCCCUUACGGGCUGGGCUACACACGUGCUACAAUGGCGGUUACAAUGGGACGCGAAUGGGCAACCUGGAGCUAA
rnacentral:rRNA from 1 species